AAAAUAUGUUUUAAGAACACUAAUCUAUAUGGUGUUGAAAAAGAUAUACCUUCAUAAGUUCUUUUUAUAUUGUACUCAAUAGACCAAAAGAACCCUCGGUUAAUGGAACAUUGUUUGACUUUCUAAAUUACGCUUUAUUUCAAAAAGGUGGUGGAAAA